AGAAAGCGCUGCUCUGAAUGUAUCUAUGUAGUCAAACGCCUUUUUAACAAAGUGCUCGCACCUUCAAAAUCCUUCGCUAUGCAGGUCACUUUGUUUUAAAGGUUGCGCAGCUCACUGCUAAGCACUUUCAACAAAAGAAAAUCUUUAACAAGAAUUCAAGAGACACUUAAUGAAAUAGACCGCUAAAUUUUCUCUGCAAAAUAUCCCUGACAGCACGUUCUACUGUAGCCACCCUAUGCUCCAUUGAGGUUCCCAGCUUGCUCUCCAACCAAAUGCAGGAACCAUGCAAAGCAAAGCCCCUGAUUGUCUAGUGCCCCUAAGCCUCCCUUGCUGCAAAAUUUUUGGUCGCCUUCGUUGACAUUCGCGGCCUAUCCAUGCAUUCGUCAGCCGUUGAUCCAUCACAACAAGUAGCAUACGAGGUGAGUGAAUCCUGGAGCAGGGCAACAGAACUAGUAAUAUCAGCACGCUCUUCAAAUACACUGCUGUUAGCGCUAGCGCACAGCUUACCCUGGUGACAUCUUCGCGGGGCAGUGGCGGCACUGGUGCGGAAUUCGUUUUAUAAACGUAAAUCAGCCGCCAGGGACGCAUAAGUUUCUUUGUUUUACAGGCAAAUUAAUUGUGGUCUUCAUUGUAGAGCUGUUCAACUGUAAUCUAGUGCUUAUGCUGACGCUACUUGCUGCAUGCAGCGGUUCGUUUUCCUCACAUGAUAGUGUGCGACGCUGUUGUAUCUCAGCUUUCGGACUUUAAAACCAGCAAGCAUCUAAAAUGUGCUGCAUAAUAGACAGGUUUAGUUUAGCGUACGCUAUAAAAUAGUGGGUCAUCACUGCGCAUGCGCAGAACGCUAAACGACCCAUUGCGUAUAGCGUACGCGCACUAUUUCUCAGAUUUAGCAUUAGUGUCUUUGCGUGGCUUGCGGAAUUUGCGUGAAACAUGGCGGCGGCCUCGGCUGCCAGCUUCGAAUUGAAUUUGGCGUUGCUUUUGUAAAAUGGACUUCGUUCUUUGCAACUGACUGUGUAAAUGAUAACCUUGUAAAUGAUAACUGUGAUAACCUUGUGGUGUUUUCGAGAUCGCUUCUCGUUUCGAGUGAGUUGAAACCUAACGAAAGAAACAUCCGACAUGUUAGCACCACCUAUAGCUACAGUCGGGAGAUAGCCGCAAUGACGGCACAUGGCCUCUAAGAUCUGAACAUCUCACAGGCCAACUCAACCUAAAGAAAUGUGCUGCUUAGCAUACGCUAUAUAUACUUUAGCGUAUAGCAUACGCUAUAGUUGCGUAUGCUAAAUUAAAACUGUAAUGUCAGACCCAUAAGUUAGCUUCAUCCCAAUACAGUGGUGUUACGCAUUCAACCAUGCACUUAGCAUUGUGAUGAAGUAUACCAACAGUGGGAAGGGGUCACAAACACUGGACAUAGCAAGGUUACGCAGUCAAGCAUACCAUAGCGCUGAAGCAUACUGAAAGUGGAAAAAGAUAAAAUUACAUGCAGAGUAUCCUGUGGGAGUUAUCUAAAUGAUGCAUAAGCAUUUGCGACUGAUCACCUACUGUUUUGUCGUCAUAUGCUGCUGCGUUUCAUAUAAUUGCGAGAAACGCCACGAAAAAAAUCAUGAAAUGGAGAAGCGCAUUUGCAACACCAAAAUUUUAAACUGAGACCAGCAUGAGUAUGAAGCAGAGGCCAGUAGUAGCACUGUUCACUCCUUUUAUAUCAUGGUGCAUUUGGAUGAUGUUGCUGCUUCAUGGAAGAUGAGCAUUGGCCAAUGCAUGCUGUUCUACGUGACGUAAUUGAACAGUGUCACGUUAGGUAGACGUCAUACGUAGAUGUGGUCAAUGAUGCUGCCUCCUCUCGAUGCAAACCAUUAUCAACUGUACAUCAGCGGCCGCUGCUUAUGGCAUGGCUGCGCAGGCCCGAUCUUACAAUUCGCUCGCUCAUGCGGGCCUUAUCUUGAAAGCAAUCAUCUUACGUGACGGACGGGUUUCCUCAUUGGGUAAGCAUAGAAACCUUUACGCAUUUUGUUUUAAAGUGAAGCUUUCUUUGUCUCUUCCUUUGACUUUCCCACUCCAGCUGCUGCUGUGGACUGCUGCUGAUGUCACACACACCACGUCGGGGGGGAGGGGGGGUGUUCAGAGUGUGUAUAUACAUGACAGGCACAAGUAAGAGAGGAAAGGAGAUGGGAGAAGCUUGUUUUCACCCCACCGCAUCGAAUGUGCACAAUGCCCUCUGGAGCUCCCUGGCCGUUGUCACAUUAGCCACCUGACAGCUGCAAUUAUCCGUGACUCCCCUCAGAAGCACUGAAGAAACUGCAGCGCUUAUGUGUGAGGCGAGAGGGGACACAGAUAGAACUGUAGAGAGAAGAAGAGGGAGGAGAAGUGGCAGUUCCCAUAUAAGAUGGGGGAAGUGACAUGAGAAGGCAAGGAAACUCCACUAACAUACAACAGCAGUUGCGGUGUGCUUAUGUUCAAGGCACAAUACAAUACGUUGCUGCUAUUUCUGAAAAAAUAAACACAAUGAAAAUAUGUCAAGCGGGCAAUUCACACAGGGCGUGCAGAAGCAGAGCCGCAUUAAUUAAAGCACACUGCAGCGUCCAGGAAACACUACAGAAGUGGUUGACCGUCAAAUCAACACUUCUGUGCCCGCUGCAUUAGCUCUGCUGCUAUGGCAUUGCGAGAGGUCAUGGAUUUGAUCCCAAUCGCGGGAGCCACAUUUCGACGGGGGCGAAAUAGAAAACCCAUGUGCACUUAGAUUUUGGGACACAUAAAAGAACAUCACGGUGUCAAAAUUAAUCUGGAGUCUGCCACUAUGCCGUGCUUCAUAAUCUGAGUGUCGUUCUGGCACGUACAGCCCCAUAAUCCAAUUCAAGUUUAAAACUUCUGCCAUAACGCGAUGUGCCAUAUGAGGAAAUGACAACACUCAACCCUCUCGGGUUAUAAGAUAUGGCCCACAACAAUGCCUCAUGCAAACACCUCUCCCUGUGUGUUCCGCCUAUUACGCAGACAAACAGCAGUGGUGCCCACAAGGUAACGUUUAACAUCAAUUCGCCAAUCUCGUGUUAGCCUAAACGUUGAAGAAAUUAAGCUUUAGCCGUCAACACUGCUAAUUAUCGUCAAUCAGAGCAUCCAGCAUGGAGAGCUUCACUUACAUCAAUUCCCACAGGGUGUGGGAUCUGCAUAAUUUUUCCCUUAUUCCUAAUUUUUGUGUGCAUAGCAUGAACAGGAAGAUGUUCCAAUGAGCUCAGUUUUGAAAAUAUAGUAAUAUGUGCAAUCUCCGGUUAUGGUAAAAGCACCGAAACCCUUAAGGAGUGUACAGGCAGGGAUUUAGAGCUAUUUCCGGCAGGGUUGUAGUGAUUUGGGCCCUUGCUUCGCCCAUCUUGCAAGCUCCAUAUACGAGACUGCAACACAGCCUUGCACAUGUUCCCGACUAUACAUGCGCACAUGUGCCAUCAUCUGUCACAGUAUGAGCACCGAGACAUCUAAUAACUCACAUGACACCCAUUCAAAGCUGGUUCUGACGUUGCUGCAGUGAUGGACCGCACUACAUUACAGAAGCUCCAGUGCAUAACACAACUGCAUUGCGGUGAAGCUCAGUCUAGGGCAUUGGCAUUGAAACUUGUUUAAGAAAUCACAUUUCCUCAAGCCACAACCAGCAUGCGUAUUUGUGCUCUUAAACUGCACAAGGGCCAUCCAUAUGCCGACAUGUCGGAAUGUUAAGUCAGGUGUAGUUCUGACCAGAAUGCACAUAUUGUUUGGCAUAUCUAGAAAGUGUUCCUAAAGUCACCUCUGCCACAUUACAGUUGAGUUAAGCAGGGAAGCUUAUAGCCCCGUUUACAUGAAUGCGACAGUGGCGCAUCGCAUUUCCCAGCGCAUUUGGGAAAGGCGAUGCGACGCCGUUUACAUGUAGCGCAUUAACUCUCGCGAAAACGCAGCGCCACAAGGUGUCGCAUAAGGGAAGUGCAGCCGACUUCCGGUCUAACUGGUAUAUCCGGUAGUGGGCGGAGUGCACGUUGGUGGCUGAGUGCCGAGAAAUAGACAGUUUUGGUUUAGCGUACGCAACUUAUAGCGUACACUAUACGCUAUAGUGUAGCGUACGCUAAGCAGCGCACGUUUUUUACAGUUUCAGUUGACCAGCGAGAUCUUCGGAUCUCAGAGGCCAUAUGCCGUCGUUGUGGCUAUUUCCCGGCUCUAGAGAUAGGUAGCGCUGACAUCUCGAAUGUUUCUUUCGUUAGGCUUCGACCCGUUCGAAACGAGCUGCGAUCUCGAAAACACUACAAGGUUAGCCAUAAUACUCUGUCGUCGAAGCGGCCUGAGACUAAGCGAAAGCCGUUUACACAAUCAUUUGCUGCGAACGAAGUGCAUUUUACAAAAGCAACGCCAAAUUCAAUUCGAAGCGGGCAGCCGGGACCGCCGCCAUGUUGGUGGCCAAUUCCUUCCCAUCAUUCCUAAUGCGACGAUCCUGCGUUUACAUGCUCCGCGAGAGUCGACUCGCGCCCGUAAAUCUACCCUCGCCUGGCGCACUAAUGCGAUGCGCCUUCCUAGCGCAUUACUGCUGUUUACAUGAAUGUGAUGCGCUAUAAAUGCAAUGCGACGUUGUCGCAUUCAUGUAAACGCGGCUUAUGCAAUGUAUUGCACUGAAGCAUAUUAAAAGCGAAAAAUUGCAAUUUCAUUGCUGUGGUGAUUUAAGCCCCUUGUUUGGGGGGCCAUGACCGUGCCCCUCUGGAGGGCACAAAGGAGCGAGGAAUCAUGGUUGGAGAGCAUGACACAAACCCUGGCGAUGGAGAAACAGCUUUGAUGACCUGCUCUACCGAAACUGCACUGCUUGUUCAGCAGGUGUUAAUCAAGAAGCUAGAAAAAUGAAACCUAGUAGUCCGGAUAUUUAUGGACUACAGCAAGGCUUUUCACAGUCCGCAACACAAGAUUCUAUUAACAGAGUUGACUGCCAAUGGUGUACAUGGAAUGACAUAUUUUGUUGUGUUCGUAUCUGCUUGAUUGCAGGCAAUGCGUUGUCAUUGGAAAUAGUAUUUCCUCGGACGGCAAUAUUGUUAGGUGUCCCACAGGGCAGCAUUUUAGGUCCCCUUCGACAUUUACGUUAAUGACAUGAUAGACAUACGGGGGAGUCCCCUUGGCGUGCAAAAAGCGAAUUGCGGAACAAAUCUCGUACUUGGCGCGAUCAACAAUGGGAACCUCCAUAUCGGACGGCUGCUGAGCCAAGAAUGAGCGGUGCAGCGAAGCAAAGUGCGGCUGGGGGGAAUGGAGAGUGGGGGAACAGCCGCCUGCAUGAGUGUUGCCGGAUUUCACCUCGCACCUUCCCGUGCAGCUGGAGCUCUUUGGGAACCUUAUUGCUCGAUGAACCCUUGCAGAAAGCGAGGCAACAACCAUUCUAUAUGUGGAUGAUACCAGCCUGUUUGUCUCUGGUCUGGAGGCUUGCGAUGUCAUUCCUAAAGCGAACGCACUCCUUUCCACUUCAUUGGGAUGGUCCAGCCACAACGGCCUUAAAAAUAUUAUUUCUUUCCAGAACAGUUGAAAUUACAAAUUUACCAGGCACUAUUUGCGUCUCAUAUUAACUACUGCAUGCAUGUGUGGGGCACCACUGUGAACACUAACACAAGCUUUUUCUUCAGAAACGUGCACGUCGGAAUUAUUGCUAACGUUCCAUACCUCCACACAACAUCACCACUUUUCACCAAAUUUAACGCGAUUUCAAACUGCCAGAUCUGUAUGGCUUUCCUUUACUCUAUUCAUAUUUUUUUCCUCUAACAAAGUCUCUUCACUUGUACAAUCACUGUCGGGACUACAGCCAGGAUAGAUGGCUCGUGCCAAAAACGCUAACAAUUUAUCUAAUGCAAUCGCUAACCUGUAAUGUUCCUUUACUUCUUAAUAAGUAUGAAAACCAAGGCAUUAUUAAUGUUCAUGUAUUUAUCCGGAAAGAAACGCGAAAUAUUUUUUGGUCUACAAUCAUUCAUUACAUGAUGCCUGCGCGUGGGAACAAAUGUAUGGAUAUCCAUAACUGGGAGUUACUAAUGCGCUGUUCUUUCUCUCUCUCUCUCUCUCUCUAUAAUAUAUAUAUAUAUAUACAUAUAUAUUUUGAUGGGCUCAGACACUGAACCAGUGUUUACAGUCCUCUUCUCUGAAGAAGGACAAGAAGCCCCCGGAAAGGCUGGUGAUGGUCAUCGGAGACGUUGAUCUUCCCAACGAUGUCAGGCAUGUGUUGAACAAAGGUCCGAAAUUCAGCCACGAGCCACGGAUAGAAGCACAUGAGUUCCUAGCGCUUAAUAGGCGCAUAGCAGGAAAGGCGUUGGAAGAAAACCGUGAAAGAUGCCUUCUGGAUGGUGUGGAUACGCUUAUAAGAUCUACGACCAGCACUAACACGUUGACUAGCAAAGAUUCUAUGGGAAAAGUCGUGUCGUAUUUCAGGAAGAAUAGACUCCGGCUUCUUCAAGCUGACAAGGAUGGUGGGUUUGUGGUGCUCACCGAGGAAGAGAUUCAAAAAAGAGCCGGCGAAGCAAUUGCAAAGAACUUCAUCCCUCUGAAAGCUAGUGCGACGCGAGUGAGAGGCAAGGCGGCUGCGAUGUGCAAAGAAUUAGAUCUGAGCACGCUGGCCAAUGACAUUGGUAACAGCAAAAGCAAUGCCCUUUCCAUGUUCUUUACGGCCAAAACGCACAAACUGUCCGUGCCAUUCAGAACAGCGGUCAGCGAAAAUGGAACUUGGCUGAUUGUGUUAAGCAAGUUUCUUCAAAAGCACCUUGCAUCCCUUAAAGUUCAAGAUCCGUACGCCACAAAGAGUUCAAAAGAUGUUGUUAGGUUUCUUGAGGGAUGUACUUCCAAUGGUUAUGUGUUUUCAGUAGAUGUUGAAGACUUGUUUUACUCUGUGCCCCACGAUGCCUUAUUUCGUUCUGUCAGAGAUGCUAUGGAAAGUAACGGUGCAGUAGAGUUCCAAAACUCCUCUGGCGUGUCAAUAUAUAAUUUUAUGAAAAUGCUAGAAUUUUACCUUGAUGUGACGUUAAUCUCUUUCGAGAACAAGUUUUAUCGACAAAGACAAGGGAUUUGUAUUGGAUCCUGCGUAGCCCCGGUGCUUACUAACAUUUUCUUAACCUGUAUUGACAGCGCCUUGGAGCCAAUUUUAACAUGGUGCUUGUCCUGUGUCGUUCUCCCCACUUGUGAACGUCUUCGUUGGCGCUGUUCCUUCCUAAAUCAAGUAUGCACCAUCUAGCCCAAAUGAAUGUUGUCCUGAACUUCUAGACUCGUUGAUUUUUUCAUCGCCGCGUCUAGCCAUAACCACUAUGGUCUAGCCCCAGGGAGCCCAAACAGAGGAAACGAAGGUAGAAAUGAACGAUAAAGGUAAUCUAAAAUGACGCAGGAACUAGGCAGCCACCGUACCUGCGGUUAAUCAAACAUUCAAAUUUUGACACUUCACGUGCCAAAGUCGAAAACUGAUAAUGAGGCACACCGUAGCGGUGAACUGCGGAUUAAUUUUCACCGCGCGGGAUUCGUUAACAUGUAUUCAACGUACGGUACACGGGCAUUGCAUUUUUACUUCGUCGAACCCCGUCGAAAUGCGGCCUCCACGACCGAGAUGUGAUCCCACAACCUCACUUUCGCAGCGCAACGCCAAAACCACUAAUACAACAUGGUGGGUCUAGAAGCCAUCAGGACAGUUUCAGUUGGCUGGACCAAUAAACCAUAUUGCUUUUCACAAAAUCCCGCAAAAGUUGCGGAGUCCAACAUGACGGUCUAAUGUGAGGAGUUUAUUUUAAACUUGUUUCAAUGCCAGGGCAGAAUACUCAGACUUCGCCAACGUUACAUCGCGAUUGCAUCUUUUGUCAGAAUAGUAGAUGCUUUCGAAUUGCUACAGGCGCGCUCGUGCAGCCCACGCAGUUCGUGCGUGGUUGCGGGCCGGAGGAGAGAGAUAUGCACAAGAGAGGAUAUCUGCCACGCCUUCCGACGUCACUCAUGCUUCGCAAAGAGUGACGUCAGCAUCUCUCAGCCUUUUCUUUCCUCCAUGGUCAGAGCACCCGCAGAUAUAAAAGGCCCGCUUGCACGCACUGAGCAUAGUUACGUAAUCGGUUUUUAGGAAACACCAUGCUUCUCUUCGCGGUCUCGCAAUGGCGAAAGUUGCUUCCUUUGAAUGUCAGUACUGCGACCGGCGGUUAGCGAACAAUCGCAGUCUGCAGAGGCACAUAAAACUUGUGCACAAAAUCACUCACCUGAAGUACAACUGCGACGAGUGUGAAGUAGCCCUGACUUUGAAAGAACUGGAGUACCGCCAUAUCAGCGUGCAUUUCUUCGAGCCGGAAUAUGAGAGGUAUCACUUUCUGACAAUGCCAGCUUUCAAGUCAUAGAAGGAAAAGGUGGAGAAAGACACACGCAGUCGCUUCAUUGCAAGGACAGGUACAGAGACUUGCGGCCACCUGAAAAAGAAGCAUUUCUACUUCGUCUGUCACCGGUCUGGAAGUUAUGCUUCACAAGCUACAAGUAAACAAAAGCUGAAGCGGCCUUCAAGUGUCAAGUGUGGAAAAAGAUGUUUUGCGGCAAUGGCUGUGACUGAAGACAACACAGGGCACUAAACUUCAGUAAAAAAAAUUUUAUGAGCCGCACAUUCUAGCAGACAAAAUAAACUGCAAGUACAUUGCUGGAGAAAAAGAAUGUCUCAUGUUGGUCUUGCAUAUAUAAGUUACACUGUUCUACAAUACGCUUGGACGAAAAUGAAAAGAAAAUGGUGGCACCUAUGGUUUGGAAAAUAUGACAAGCUGCGAGAAGGCGUGUCCAUGGAUGCAGUACUGGAUAAUGUGCGGUCCAACGUGGAUGAGACAUUCCACCGCAUUAACCUGUUAAGCAAGCAGGAUCUCCGCAAAAUAAUGAGGGAUGCCAGAGUCUCGAAGACCGAGCGGCUGCACGAUAAUGACUAUGUGAGCAUGCAACUCUGGGUUGAGAGGAUGCAUAGUGAAAAGGAAAACCCAUUGCUCUUCAUUAAACACCAAGGACAACCCGACAAAAAGUGACAUUUUCUUAGAGAAAAAAAAUGAGGACCUUUUGGAUGACAGAGAUCUUAUGCUAGUCAUCAUGACCACACCACAACAGGAGCUUUUCAAGAGGCUUGAAACUGAUCGUAUAUGUGUCGAUGGAACACAUGGAACAGCAGGUGAGCAGUACUAUAUAAAUGCAUUAAUAAUAAAAGCAAGAAAGAGGGAAUGCUGUCCGAGAAUAAUUGCAAUAGAUAUGAUGAGUAGUAUUCCUUCACACAUGAUAUUUCUCUUAAUUUUUCA